rnacentral:rRNA from 1 species
GUGCCCGCAAGAGGAACUUGGUGACAGGUGCUGCAUGGCUGUCGUCAGCUCGUGUCGUGAGAUGUUGGGUUAAGUCCCGCAACGAGCGCAACCCUUGUCAUUAGUUGCCAUCAUUAAGUUGGGCACUCUAAUGAGACUGCCGGUGACAAACCGGAGGAAGGUGGGGAUGACGUCAAGUCCUCAUGGCCCUUAUGGGUAGGGCUUCACACGUCAUACAAUGGUCGGUACAAAGGGUUGCCAAGCCGCGAGGUGGAGCCAAUCCCAGAAAGCCGAUCGUAGUCCGGAUCGGAGUCUGCAACUCGACUCCGUGAAGUCGGAAUCGCUAGUAAUCGUGGAUCAGCAUGCCACGGUGAAUACGUUCCCGGGUCUU